GCCAGCAGCCAUAUCACCCUGCAGUCAGCAGCCAUAUCACCCUGCAACUCACAGCUGGCAACACACUGAAGCUAAGCAGGUUUGAGCCUGGUCAGUACCUGGAUGAGAGACCUCCUGGGAAAAACUAAGGUUGCUGCUGGAA
rfam:Lepisosteus oculatus linkage group LG1, whole genome shotgun sequence.